GACGAACGCUGGCGGCGUGCCUAAUACAUGCAAGUCGAACGCAUCCCGUUGAAUUGAAGUGCUUGCACUGAUUUUUAACAUCGGAUGAGUGGCGAACUGGUGAGUAACACGUGGGUAACCUGCCCAGAAGCGGGGGAUAACACUUGGAAGCAGGUGCUAAUACCGCAUAACAACAGAAACCGCAUGGUUUCUGUUUGAAAGAUGGUUUCGGCUAUCACUUCUGGAUGGACCCGCGGCGUAUUAGCUAGUUGGUGGAGUAAUGGUUCACCAAGGCAAUGAUACGUAGCCGACCUGAGAGGGUAAUCGGCCACAUUGGGACUGAGACACGGCCCAAACUCCUACGGGAGGCAGCAGUAGGGAAUCUUCCACAAUGGACGAAAGUCUGAUGGAGCAACGCCGCGUGAGUGAAGAAGGGUUUCGGCUCGUAAAACUCUGUUGUUGAAGAAGAACACAUCUGAGAGUAACUGUUCAGGUGUUGACGGUAUUUAACCAGAAAGCCACGGCUAACUACGUGCCAGCCGCCGCUGUAACAC
rnacentral:rRNA from 1 species